rnacentral:rRNA from 1 species
GGAGCUAAUACCGGAUAAUAUUUUGAACCGCAUGGUUCAAAGUGAAAGACGGUCUUGCUGUCACUUAUAGAUGGAUCCGCGCUGCAUUAGCUAGUUGGUAAGGUAACGGCUUACCAAGGCAACGAUGCAUAGCCGACCUGAGAGGGUGAUCGGCCACACUGGAACUGAGACACGGUCCAGACUCCUACGGGAGGCAGCAGGG